UACGGAGGGGGAGCUAGCGUUGCUCGGAAUCACUGGGCGUAAAGCGCACGUAGGCGGAUUGUUAAGUCAGGGGUGAAAGCCUGUGGCUCAACCACAGAAUUGCCUUUGAUACUGUUUGGCUAGAGACCGGAAGAGGUAAGUGGAACUGCGAGUGUAGAGGUGAAAUUCGUAGAUAUUCGCAAGAACACCAGUGGCGAAGGCGGCUUACUGGUCCGGUUCUGACGCUGAGGCGCGAAAGCGUGGGGAGCAACAGG
rnacentral:rRNA from 1 species